rnacentral:misc_RNA from 1 species
UCCGGUUUGACACCGGCAGUCUCGCUAGAGUACUCGGCAUAACCCGUGAGCAACUAACGACAGGGGUUGCGCUCGUUAAGGGACUUAACCCGACACUUCACAGCACGAGCUGACGACAGCCAUGCAGCACCUGUGCUUGUUCCACCCUUGCGGGCGUGGCUCCUGUUUCCAAGAGUUAAUCCAAGCAUGUCAAGCCCAGGUAAGGUUCUUCGCGUUGCCUCGAAUUAAGCAACAUGCUCCACCGCUUGUGUGAGCCCCCGUCAAUUCCUUUGAGUUUUAGCCUUGCGACCGUACUCCCCAGGCGGCGCGCUUAGUGCUUUUGCUUCGACCGAGCCGGCGUCAGAGCCACCUCGAUCUAGCGCGCAUCGUUUAAGGCGUGGACUAC